rnacentral:rRNA from 1 species
UGUUGGGUUAAGUCCCGCAACGAGCGCAACCCUUGCCAUUAGUUGCUACGAAAGGGCACUCUAAUGGGACUGCCGGUGACAAACCGGAGGAAGGUGGGGAUGACGUCAAGUCCUCAUGGCCCUUAUAGGUGGGGCUACACACGUCAUACAAUGGCUGGUACAGAGGGUUGCCAACCCGCGAGGGGGAGCUAAUCCCAUAAAGCCAGUCGUAGUCCGGAUCGCAGUCUGCAACUCGACUGCGUGAAGUCGGAAUCGCUAGUAAUCACGGAUCAGAAUGUCGCGGUGAAUACGUUCCCGGGUCUUGUACACACCGCCCGUCACACCAUGGGAGCGGGUUCUGCCAGAAGUAGGUAGCCUAACCGUAAGGAGGGCGCUUACCACGGCAGGGUUC